CCAGAUCCCCCCACCGACCCCGCACCGUGGGAGUCACCACACCCGCCCCUGCUAUCCAGAGCUCCUGGACCAUGUGGGGCUCCAAUCUCAAGCACUGAGCUCACUCACAGGCAGUCGGCAUCCUGGGAAGAAAGUGGCUGCAAACUCUGAGACUGAGUUCAAAUGCUCGUCCUGCUGCUGUAAUUAAUGUGUAACUCCAGCAAGUUCCUGAUCCUGGCACCUUCGUUUCUUAUACUGGGCGGCCUGGGGCGGGCAUCUGCCAGGCGAGGGAGCUGCCCUGCCGCCGAGAUUGUGGGGAAACGGCGUGGAAGACACCCCAUCGGAGGGCACCCAAUCUGCCUCUGCACUCGAUUCCAUCCUGCAACCCAGGAGAAACCAUUUCCGAGUUCCAGCCGCAGAGGCACCCGCGGAGUUGCCAAAAGAGACUCCCGCGAGGUCGCUCGGAACCUUGACCCUGACACCUGGACGCGAGGUCUUUCAGGACCAGUCUCGGCUCGGUAGCCUGGUCCCCGACCACCGCGACCAGGAGUUCCUUCUUCCCUUCCUGCUCACCAGCCGGCCGCCGGCAGCGGCUCCAGGAAGGAGCACCAACCCGCGCUGGGGGCGGAGGUUCAGGCG
rnacentral:lncRNA from 10 species